rnacentral:lncRNA from 1 species
UAGUUUUUAAGUGCAAUAUCACCUGUUAAACUGGUAAGCCAGUCUUCACGCAUGUAAAACACACGGCAUAAAUUAUACAUAAUAACUCUGUAAAUAAAUAUGAUAGUGGUACACUAAAUUAACGAUGUGGACCCUAGGCUACCUAGACCCAUUCUCGCUGCACCAGGGAUUCCAUGAACGAGGAUUUUGAGAUAUUUCGAGGACCAAAAGGAUUGUACUUCUAAACCUUUUGAGACAUUAUAGAACAAAAUUACUUUCGAAGUUCUCGUGCUACUUGCACAAGGCAUUCUGUUAACGUUUUCCAAUCUUUCAAUGGCGUACUCAAUAUAUCAUUCUUUUAGGGUCGGAUACCUUCUCCUUUCUUCCCUUUUGACAAAUUAACAGACACAAGGCCAAGCAUGGAAGUGACACUGGAACUUAUGACACUAAAGGAAGGUUGAAUAUUGGUAUACACGUAUGACAAGCUUAAUCUCGAAGAAUUGUGGAAUAUUAUAACAGAAGGCAAUCAACAAGC